AGACCGAGCUCACUUCCUAUUUCCACAGCAGUCUCUGCUCACUGCGAACACAGAAGGCUGAUCUCAGUGUGCUCAGAGCAGCAUCACGGCUAAAGGGCGGAUGCGCGUGUAACAGAGGAGCGUAAAGGAUUCUCAGACACACACACGUCAGAAAAUGCUAAUGCCGCUCACUGACCCGGCUGCUUUUCAAAACCGAUUUCAAAUCGGGUGAGCUAAGCCCCCAUUUUUCUAAUAAGCCUUCCAGCGUAUUCACGGGCCGAACCACAGCGGAAAUCAGAGCGCUUGGGAAAAGACGUCGCGUUAAGAUAAAGCAAUUUUGGAUAACCCAAACAUCACCUGAAUGGACUGGACUGCCUUCACAAAAGGGAGAUGACCACCAAAUCCUUCUGGAAUUCCAACUCGUGACCUGUUUGCCAAGACUGCUAACAGAUGGAGCUGUACACUUCAGCAGACUUGCACGCAGUGCUUCUUGUUUACAAAGAUCUGGCUUUGGGUAGUAAAGGCAUAAAAAUUCUGAUUACUUCAGUCAUAUUCAUCUUAAAAAUCUCUUCCUAUGCCUAUCAGCUCUUGAGACAAGAUGGAUGCAUCUCUUAACUGAUAACACCAUGAAAAAGCAGAUCAACAGAGGAAACAAAAGAUCUUAAAGUAACUACUUCCUAGUCAAACUUGUUAACCUUAAUUCAAAUAUUUGUAUCUCAUCAGGUAUAUAUAUAGAUGGAUAAAAGAAUUAUGGCACUUCUGAACAUAAAUUAGUGAGAAUAGGUGUAAUUCAGAAAGUUCAAAGUGAUUUUGUAUACAUUUUCUUCUCUUAUUUGCAUAAUUCUACUUUGAUAAUACACUGCAUUUUUAUACCUUUUUGCACAGAUAUUUAUAUGUUAAAUAUAUCUUCCAAGAUUAAAAAUGUCUGAAACCAAAGCAGAUUUUAUUUCUCCUAUGUGAAAUAUUAACUGUCUCUGAAAGUAAUUUAAAACAAAAAGGAAAAUAAUUAACCUGACGUAGUCUCUCCCUCCUUCUAAUUUAACACAAUCUGUCUGGCCAUCUCUAAUUUUUCUUGACAGGAAUGGCAAGGAAACUGGUUGUAGUUCUCUUUAGUUUGGAAGAAUUCGUAUGAGCUAACUAUGAAGCACAAUGUAAUUACAUUUGGGUGCCAUCAAAAUGUAGCACGUUGGUGAUAUAUUUGGCACAUGUAAAAACAAAACACUGAUUUAAACAAUGUGGCAAUGAUGGUAUUAACCUGCAACCAUUCCCUGCGCUUUCUCAUUUUAUGAUGCUACAAGUGGUUUUUCCCUCCCUCUGGUCUCUCUGCCUUUCUUCUUGAUACAAGAGGCCAUCACUCAUAACAAGCUUGGCUGCUGAGCAUAAGAGUAGAACUGAAAAAAAAGCUCAGAGUUUAUACUCAAAGGCUCUGAAAGACUGAGAUGUCCUUUUGUACAAGCGAAAUUGCCAAGGUGACACUGCUUUCAAUAUCAGGAUGAAAAAUGUUUUGAAAAAGUAGUUUUUCAAAGUGGAAAGGAGGUUAAUUCUCAUCUUGUACCUGCCUUGUUCUACCUUGUCAACUGUAGAAAUAAAGAACAUGCACUUGUUCUGGGCAGUGCAAGUUGUAGAGCAAUUAUGAUAUAAGUACCUGUGUAUAUUUUGCUUCAUAGAAAGACAAGAAGUUUCCUAUCCAGUAAAUAAUUUCUUGGUUAUUUUAACAUCUGAAUAGUUCAUAGAAUCAAGUUUCCAAGAAGUUUUGAAUAAGUUCUGUCCUGACCCUCUGAAAUUCAUCUGUUCCAUAUAAUUACACAACAUUAUGAAGGUAGUGCUUAGGAAAAUGGCAACAUUUUAAUCCACAAAUAAAACGUAAUUAUUUCACAUAGGGUAGGGGAUGACUGCAUUGGUUCACAUCAUUCAGACUUUGCUGAAAAUGUUCUAAAUUGCUUAUUUAAUAGAGGAAUUUGAACUCAUCGCUCAUUGAACGAUUGUUCAGAUACAAUUCUAUCUGCACACGCAAUUGUGAGCUAUAAAAUGGUGAAAAACCUGCUUGUUUUGGAACUAUGAAUACAUAAUAGCAGGUAUAAAAAUUUGGACUUCUUUAUAUUAUGCAGUUUAUAAUCAACGAUAUUUCUGCAAGAAUUUUACAGUAAGAUAUGGCAUCAUUCAUCAAGCAUUUAUUCUAAGUUCUGAUUGUCUCCAAGUCAAAGAACACUCUCUGAAAGCUCCAAGUGUUUGACACCCAAUUUCAAAACAGAAAACUUGCACAGAUUUCUUCUUAUUGUCCUAAUCCCAUUUCAACUGAAUAUACUUACCUUCCCCUCAUAAGAUCAUCUUCAUUUCCUAUGCACCUUUUAAUAAAACUGUAAUUAUUGCACAGACUGUUUUGGAAGAAAGUACAAUUAUGUCUUUCAUAGAUUCCAUGACUUUUGAGAACGGAAGCAUUUGAAAAUGACCUGACUUGUGUUAUUUUUCCUUUCUUCUUUCCUCAUACAACAUUUUUGAAGUUUUUUUUCCCCCUGCAGCUUGCUUACUCUGAAACAUAGAAUCUGAGGUUAUUUUUACUAAUAACAAAAUUGUUAUGGAAAUGUCAGUUUUAUGAUAAUGCAACGGACAGUUAUGUAAGUAUUUGUGUAUCUUGGCCAAAUAAUUCGCAGGCUGAACUGUAUUAGUACACUUGCUGUUUGCUCUGUCAAUAGAAUAAUGUAUAUCAGAAGUCUUAAGCACUGUGUCAAAUUAAUUUAUCUGCCAAAGAAAAGAAUUCAAGCAUAGCUCUCUGCCAAAAUUGUUCCUUAAGCUCUAGAUCAUCUGUGUCUGUGGCCUUCUAUCAAUAUGAACAUGCUCAGCAGUGCCAUUAAUGCCAGUAUUAAUUAUUCUACUGUAGUUAUAGACAAGACCUCGCUAAGUACACCUGUGACAAAACCACCUUAACCUUUUACUGAAGCUGCCUGAAGAAACUGCCAAAAUGGGACAUACUUGAAAGAUAAUGUGUAGUUUAUGUGACAAAAGUCUGAAGCACAUCCAGAUAUAAAAAAUAAAUAAAAACAGGAAUUUGGGAAACAUACUGCAUUAGUGAAAUAGAUUGAAUACCACUUUCACAGUGGGAAGGUCUCACUGGGCAGGAGACUGAAGUAGUCACAGAAAUACUGCUACCAAGAGUAGCAAACUGAGUUUAAAAAAGUAGCACAUUCCAGCCAUUCUAGCUAUAUUGCAAUGUUCAGAUGUGAUUAAGCAUGAAUUUUACACAAGUGUGGGUAAGAGUUCAAAGAUUAACAAGUACCAGAAAUUCAAAUUUAGUGCUUCACAUAUUCAGUGAAAUGGAUCAAUACCUAGUAUUCAGAAGGGAGAUCCUUAAGAAGUUUUUACAGAAGUAGUUAAUGACUUUGUGUGGGAACCUCUCUGGAAACCUAGACUGAACAGCUCCUGGCUUCAGUGAACUGCUCCAUUAGGUCUAAAUCCUUGAGACGUCUCCAUUCUUCAUACAACACUCAAGCUCAUCCACAACUGCUGAAUCUGAGUCUCAAGGCCAACAACACUAAGGUCCCAGAUGACUCAAAUUCCAACAAAUACUACACUAAAAUCUUGUUUGCUAAUUAUUUUAUUCUGUAGUAAAGCUCAGUUAUUGCUAUUCCCUCCAUGUAGUGUGAACUUUCAAACUCAAAGCUCAUCUCAUAUUUCACUUAUUAACUUUUUAACAAAUUAACUGUGAAGACAAGAUUAUACUUAUUUUAACUGAGGUUAGCUGUUUGAGAAUGGAACUAUAUUCUGAACUGAAAAGCAGGUUAUCUUCUUGUAAAGUUAUGAAGAGACACUCUUUAAUUGCAUUUCUAAACAACGUAUAGAACCUUACUGCCACCUACAUGGAAAGAAGAGGCUGAACUGUACCUACCUACCCUUCCCCUUGUAAAGUACUUCAUAGGUCUAAGGAUAAAACUGUAUCAUAAACAUCAGAUCUGAGUACAAUUGUAGAUACCUUGAUUUUUGUAGGGGACUUUCCCUUUUACUAGUUCUACAGUCUGCAGACUUGUCAUCUGAUGAAGGCUUGUUUCUCUGUCACCCAGCAGCAACAUCAAAGGGUCUGCAAGAGACGUAGCUGCAGACUGUUAACCACGUGGAGCUUCCACCCCCAUGGUGCUAGCUGGCUCCUGAGGUAACCCUUCUGUAGGUACAGUCUCCUCACGCUCAUCUAGGAGGAAAACAUUCCAUCAACAAUCCGGCUGGCUCUGAAGCCUUUUGCUUUUUAUCACUCUUUGCUCCCUGACACAGUGCAUUUUUUCCACUCAAACGCCAGUGUGGACUAAAAGAGGGGAUAUCUUGCACUUUUUGAGAAACCAAGUUCUUCUACAGUGCUAUCUCAGCAGGACCGGGUAAGAAAUUUUUAUCUUUAAAUUCUGACUUCAAGUCACAGUAAAUUGAGCUGUUCUAUGAUUGUCUCUUUAUUCCACUUAAGAAGAAUAACCAGAAAUAAAGGAUGAGAGAGAAAAGUCACAGACCUUUAGAGCAAGCUAAUUUGCUCUAAAAGGCAUAUAAUGUUUCUAAAAUGUCUUUAUAAAAAUUCCUGGCUUCCUUUUGGUGAAACUUAACUACACUAUAAACACACAACUGCCACAGCAUUUGCAAUACUAAAUAAGCUAAAAUAAUUAUGACCUCAAAUCAGUAAAAGCUCGGUCAUUGCAACUGAAUGGAACAUCAUAUCCAGCAAGAUUAGAAAUGUCUACAUAAAUCAAUGUAAAGAAUAAUCAAAAAAGCAGUUUAACGUGGUUGUGUAAAAAUUUCAAUGUCAGAAGAGAAACAGACUUUGCAUAUUUCCUCAAUAUAAAACAAAACAAAAAAGGUAACUGCACAUUAAACCUUAUUCUGAUAUUGUAGAGCUGUAGAUUAUCAAGUUCCAGAUACCGUGAUGCAGGUACAUCAAAAUCUUUUCUCACUGUAAAUUUUAUGACAGAAUUCAGUAACUGACAAAGCAUUCUGGCAGUAAUCUCAUCAAGACUGAACAUGCUAAUCUGCAUAAAUCAUACAAACCUUAAAUAUCUUUUUGCAUCUGCUCAUGAGUUCCUUAGUUAAAUUGUAUGCAUUCUCCCAUUCUGCUACAAGUUAUGCUUGUUUGCUUCUGGGAGCUUUUGCUUGCUGGUCUGAUCUUUAAAAAAAAAGCACUCAUACGGAAUAAAAGAAAAGUUGAAUGAGUCCAUCAUCAUAAGUAAAUGCAAAAGAACUUAGUACUUUAAAUUAUGUACAAAUAAGCAUAAAUUAAUGUCACAUCAUGCUCACAUUAGCUGGGAAUAGAACAGAAUACUGCUAAAAUUGCCACAGAAUCUUUACAAAUUUGUUUGGAGUGCUCAUGGAAAAAAUUCUUUCUACAUUUCCUUCAUCUUGAAUUUCCUCUACUUUCUGAAUCUUUGCAAAUGAUUGCAGUGAUGUUAAGAUUGGCCUUUAAUACAGCUUACCUUAGAAUUAAUAAAAAUUUAUUCCAAAGUGUCUUGACAGUCUGUACUCUAACUCCUAAUACAAACUUCCAUAUCAGCAAUAAGUGACAACAGGUCAGCUCUCCAUACAAGGAAAUAAAACAUCAAGGCAGUAAAACACGUAACUACAAAGUUAUCUUCUAAAAACACCUAAAACAAAGGGAGAACAGCAGGUGACAAAAAAAAUAUUUUUUCUCCAUAUGCUAUCUAUUUAAAAUAGUUCAGAUGUAUAUAUAACACUGGAAUACUAGAUGGGUAAUGAAUAAAUGAAGAAAAUGUAUUGUCUAACACCAGAAUUAGAUAUCCUUUAAUACAUCAGACUAGGUGUUGUAAACAUUUCAGAACUGUCAUGUUACUGAAGCUUCUUAUGUACACUGCUAUGCUAUUAAGUAGCACUUCUCACUCCAGCCAUAACCCUAAGUUAGACUGCAGCAAUGAUGUAGAUGACCACAAAAGAUCCCUCAAAUUAAAGUUGUUUUUCUUUUUCCUCUGUGUACUAGACACUUAUUUUGUUAUAACCAACUCCUGUAUGGAAACUCUUAUGUAGUCAGUCUUCAAGUCAACAUUUUCAAAAGCCAGGCCUUGCAGUAAGCACACAGCAUAUCUCAAGUUUGUUGAAAUUUAUUUAUGAGUUAUUCUCAAGCAAUGUUACAAAACAUUUUAAUGUUUGAUAAGAAAAUAAAAUUUAAAUAAAAAUACAUUCAACAAUACAUCAGCAUAAUACAAAUUGAAACUAAUGAUAAUUUACAAUCCAAACAGAACUAAUUACUGAAUAACAUCAUUUUUCUAGACUAAUCAAAAUGAAGGCAACUUUAAUAAUUAAUCAUCCUACUUGUACCUAAUUAAAUUCUAGAACAUCUACUGUGUUUUGAAACAUUAUAAAAAUGAGAAAUUAAAUCCUACUGGUCACAAAUAUUCAAUGGCCUUUGUUCUUUUUCCAGUACCAUCAAAGAAAAAAGUGCAUUUUCUUUAUUAACUUUUUUUAAAAAAAGUUCCAAGUGUUUUUCCAUAAUUUGGAUUAUGAAACCUUUAAAAAAUGGCCCCAAGGAAGACAUGCUCUGCCACAGUGUAAUCAACGUAUAGCACAAACUAACUUUGACAGAUAAAAGCACUUAAUUAUUGUUUAAUGGCAACUUUUUAAUGGCAAUUAUAUAGACCCAAUUUACCUUGGCAAAACACAUUUCUUGGCAUUAAUGUGAUUCCCACCACUCCAGUUUCAACCGUUGGCAAAUGAAAGUCCCUUAAAAUACAUCAAAAUUGUUUAAGUAAAGGCAAAAACAGUGGAGGCGACUGCAUGAUUGUGGCUUUGCAGGUACUAGUACUGAUUCCCAGACAUUCUAUGAAUGGUUUGUAUGGUUUUAAAACAAAUAGUUAUUUUAACAAUAGUUACAUUCAUUAAAAAACAUUUUCAAUCUUGUCUUGCCAGUGUGCUUCAUUACAGAAAACCUCCCUACAACAGUGUUACAAAUGUAUAGUAAUUGAAACAGCUUACAGUUUUCAAGCAUUGUGGAUUUCUACUCUAUUUCUAUGUCACAUUUCUAAGUAAUUUGGCCAAAAUCAUGAUUGUAAAACAAAACACACCAACAAAUAAACAACAGAAGAUCCCACAGCAAAUGCUCCAAAAAUAAAAAGUACCACAUAUAGUUAUUGUUAAAAAUAGUAUUCCAAGGAGUACCAUUAUAUUUAAUACUGAUGAAGCAAAGUUGCCAUCUUUGCUUCUUCUUGGUUAUAUACAUAAGUUCUUUCAGCAGAAACCUAACUUCUCAGAUGAAAUGAGCAAAAAUUAAUCUUACUAGAGUCAAGAAUGACAGUUUAAAAAUUGUGUUAAUUGGCAAAUAAGAAUUCAUAUAACUAAAGAUAUAAAAAUAUUCACUGAAGCAUUGUUUAAAGAAAAACAAUGUUGAUCAUUGAACUGAUCGUAACAAGCAGAUACUACAAAGUAUCUAAAAAUAAUCUGGGAUAGUCCAGAUAUCUAAAGUGCUUUGAGUGAUUAUAAUAGAGAUUAAUUAUUAGAUUUGUAGUCAAAUGAUGAACUGAACCUAGCUAUUAUUUCUUUUUUUUUAAUCAAAAAACCAUAAACAGGAUGAUGUAGAUUGAUUGGUACUUAACCAUAAUCAGUUCACAUUUGAGUUUGUUUGUUUUAUCCAUAGGCAAACUUAUUUAUGAAGAACACUGCUACCCUGCAUUUGUUUUCAGAUUAAGAAAAAAAAAAAAAGUACCUUAAAAUGUACCCUAGAGGAAAUUGAUAGUGGUCUCAUGUCACUCCAUAUACUACUCACUCCAAAUGUAAACAGGAGGCAUAAUAAAAGUUCCCUGAUUUCUUCUUCUUUAGUACUUAAAAAAAAAAAA